rnacentral:rRNA from 1 species
GUGCCUCGGAUCAGUAGGAAUACCCGUGAACUUAACAAUAAGG